CAGAAAUAUCUUUCUUUUGAUUGGCUAGGAGAGACCGGCGCUUGAAGUUUGUAGGGGGCCGCCAUGUUGGUUUGGGGAGGCCAAUAAGUGAAGACCUCCGAGCCGCUGGAGGCGGGACAUCCGGGGCGUGGUUUAGAAAGAGUGCUUUCGCCGUGGGUGCAGAGGGUGGGCCCGCCGGGUUGGGUGGGGGGCGUGUGAUGACGGUAAUGGCGACGAGAUGCUCAACUCACGCGGCCUCUUUUAAUCCUCACAGCAGCUCUGCGUGGAGAAACUACAGUAACGUGUUACCACGUUAAGGCGGGAAGCUGAGGCAUGGGAGUAUUUAGUAACGUUCCCGGGCCGUAGAGCUGCGGUGUGCGGCCGCCUGAUCCACCUGAUCUGUAUGACUCCCGUACUCAACCAGCCUAUGUUUCCUACCAGCGAAUUUUUUUUUUUUUUUUUUUUUUUUUCUUUUUUUGAGACAAUCUGGCUCUGUGGCUCAGGCUGGAAUGCAGUGGUGCGAUCUCGGCUCACUGCAGCCUCGACCUCCCAGGCUCGGGUGAUCCUCACUUCUCAGCCUCCCGAGCAGCUGGAACCACAGUCGCCUGCCACCACCAGGCUCGGCUAAUUUUUGUAUUUUUUGUAGAGACGGGGUCUCGCCAUGUUGCCCAGGCUGGUCUGGAACUCCUGGACUCAGGCGAUCCUCCUGCCUCGGCCUGCCAAAGUGCUGGGAUUACAGGCGUGAGCCACCACGCCGGGCCUUUCCCCGGGAAUGCUGUGGUAGAGGGACCCGCAGAGGCCCCGAGGCUGCCUGCAUGUGUGUGUUGGGAGGAUCUGCGCUGAGGGUGAUUCCUGCGUGGAUGCCUGCGGGGAUUCCUGCGUGGAUUGGGGAAGUCCUGCAGCAUUACAGAAUUGUUACCCAACGCCAGGGCCUUGGUCCAGAGUCCUGUUGCUAGAUGCACAGAAAGCAAAUCACUGAGAUCUGGGUCAGGGCUUGUCUGAUGUGGGGAAAGCGGACUGCCCCCAGUGGAUUCAGACGUCACUUCAUGGCAUGAGACCAGCAUUACCCACAAUGGCAGUGGCAGCAGAUGGAGGAGAUGGAGCAGAAGGCAGCAGAGGGCGUCCCAGGUAGUACGGGCAAGCCACCUUGUGCAUGACUUGUGUCUUAGGUGUGACUGUGUGUCCUGGGAUCAGUUCUGGGUGGUCAGAAAAGUUUGAAGCCAGAUGACUCCACUGUCAAAAAACCUCUGUAGAGUUUUCUAAAGGUGAAAGUAUCCAGAUGAAGCAGGGCUCCUUGAAGGAAUGGCUGCUUCUGGAGUUGGAGCAGGGGAGAUACAAGAUGAGCCUGGAGCUGCUUGUAGCACCAGAGGGGAAGGAGGUGGUCACAACCCAAGAGGCUGGGACAUCUUACAUGGGCUUCUGAGCCCGAGCCUCAGACAAACCACACGACCUUGGAUUACAGCCCCUGGAGUCAAAUAAAUAUACCUGAGUCCGUAGUGACCUAAAUAAACAAUUCAAGAGAUGAAUCUUUCUUACAGAAUUCCAGGAAAUAGAUGUAGAUACUGCUGUUAGCCAAGAAUACGGUAUCCAGCUAAGACUAUGCUUCGUAGAUGAAGAAAUAAAGCCUUUCCCAGACAAGCAAAGGCUGGGGGAAUUUAUCACUACUAGAUCAGUCCUGCAAGAAAUGCUCAAAGGAGUCUUAACAUAAAAACAAGUUGGUAUUUGCCAUAAUACACACAAAAGUACAAAACUCACAGGCCCUAUAAAAC
rnacentral:lncRNA from 10 species